rnacentral:rRNA from 1 species
UACGGGGGGGCCAAGCGUUGUUCGGAAUUACUGGGCGUAAAGGGCUCGUAGGCGGCCAACUAAGUCAGACGUGAAAUCCCUCGGCUUAACCGGGGAACUGCGUCUGAUACUGGAUGGCUAGAGGUUGGGAGAGGGAUGCGGAAUUCCAGGUGUAGCGGUGAAAUGCGUAGAUAUCUGGAGGAACACCGGUGGCGAAGGCGGCAUCCUGGACCAAUUCUGACGCUGAGGAGCGAAAGCCAGGGGAGCAAACGGG